UACGAAGGGGGCUAGCGUUGUUCGGAAUUACUGGGCGUAAAGCGCGCGUAGGCGGUGAUCUUUGUCAGAGGUGAAAUCCCGAGGCUCAACUUCGGAAUUGCCUUUGAAACGGGAUUGCUUGAGUCCGAGAGAGGAUGGCGGAAUUCCUAGUGUAGAGGUGAAAUUCGUAGAUAUUAGGAAGAACACCGGUGGCGAAGGCGGCCAUCUGGCUCGGUACUGACGCUCAGGCGCGAAAAGCGUGGGGAGCAAACAGG
rnacentral:rRNA from 1 species